AGAAAAAGAAUCUGCAUCCUGGAAACCAGAAGAAAAAUAUGAGACGGGGAAUCAUCGUGUGAUGUGUGUGCUGCCUUUGGCUGAGUGUGUGGAGUCCUGCUCAGGUGUUAGGUACAGUGUGUUUGAUCAUGGUGGCUUGAGGGGAACCCGCUGUUCAGAGCUGUGACUGCGGCUGCACUCAGAGAAGCUGCCCUUGGCUGCUCGUAGCGCCGGGCCUUCUCUCCUCGUCAUCAUCCAGAGCAGCCAGUGUCCGGGAGGCAGAAGGUAGGCUCAAGAUCAGCCUGGCAGAACGCCAAACCUAGGGCCCCUGGCACCCAGAGGCGAGGGGAUGCCUGCUGGCUGCCCUGUCCCCACUCCCUGAGCUCUGUUUUCCACUUUGUUGACUAAGGUCCUCCCUGGGGUGGGUUCCGGGGACAGGGGAACCCAGGUCCCCAAGGGUUCUUGGUUGGGUAGGGCUGCACAGGACAGCUUCAAGUCUGGGUCUGGGAUAGUUGCUGCCUUCUUUCUUCACCACACCUGUGGUCUCCCUGGGUCUUGGUGGGGCGUGUAUGUGCAGGCCCUGCUCUGUUUUCAGCAAACCUCGCUGAGACAGGAGCUUUGGGGUGACUUAUUCCCAGCCUGCCUCCUA
rnacentral:sRNA from 1 species